rnacentral:rRNA from 1 species
UCAAGUGAAGAAGCGCAUACGGUGGAUGCCUUGGCAGUCAGAGGCGAUGAAAGACGUGGUAGCCUGCGAUAAGCUUUGGGGAGUCGGCAAACAGACUGUGAUCCAGAGAUCUCUGAAUGGGGGAACCCACUCAGCAUAAGCUGAGUAUCUUGUACUGAAUACAUAGGUGCAAGAGGCGAACCAGGGGAACUGAAACAUCUAAGUACCCUGAGGAAAAGAAAUCAACCGAGAUUCCCUUAGUAGUGGCGAGCGAACGGGGACCAGCCCUUAAGUUGGUUUGAGAUUAGUGGAACGCUCUGGAAAGUGCGGCCAUAGUGGGUGAUAGCCCCGUACACGAAAAUCUCUUAUCAAUGAAAUCGAGUAGGACGGAGCACGAGAAACUUUGUCUGAACAUGGGGGGACCAUCCUCCAAGGCUAAAUACUACUGACUGACCGAUAGUGAACCAGUACCGUGAGGGAAAGGCGAAAAGAACCCCGGAGAGGGGAGUGAAAUAGAACCUGAAACCGUAUGCGUACAAGCAGUGGGAGCCUACUUUGUUAGGUGACUGCGUACCUUUUGUAUAAUGGGUCAGCGACUUAUAUUCAGUGGCGAGCUUAACCGAAUAGGGGAGGCGUAGCGAAAGCGAGUCUUAAUAGGGCGUUUAGUCGCUGGGUAUAGACCCGAAACCGGGCGAUCUAUCCAUGGGCAGGUUGAAGGUUAGGUAACACUGACUGGAGGACCGAACCGACUACCGUUGAAAAGUUAGCGGAUGACCUGUGGAUCGGAGUGAAAGGCUAAUCAAGCUCGGAGAUAGCUGGUUCUCCUCGAAAGCUAUUUAGGUAGCGCCUCAUGUAUCACUGUAGGGGGUAGAGCACUGUUUCGGCUAGGGGGUCAUCCCGACUUACCAAACCGAUGCAAACUCCGAAUACCUACAAGUGCCGAGCAUGGGAGACACACGGCGGGUGCUAACGUCCGUCGUGAAAAGGGAAACAACCCAGACCGUCAGCUAAGGUCCCAAAGUCAUGGUUAAGUGGGAAACGAUGUGGGAAGGCUUAGACAGCUAGGAGGUUGGCUUAGAAGCAGCCACCCUUUAAAGAAAGCGUAAUAGCUCACUAGUCGAGUCGGCCUGCGCGGAAGAUGUAACGGGGCUCAAACCAUGCACCGAAGCUACGGGUAUCACCUUUAGGUGAUGCGGUAGAGGAGCGUUCUGUAAGCCUGUGAAGGUGAGUUGAGAAGCUUGCUGGAGGUAUCAGAAGUGCGAAUGCUGACAUGAGUAACGACAAUGCGAGUGAAAAACUCGCACGCCGAAAGACCAAGGUUUCCUGCGCAACGUUAAUCGACGCAGGGUUAGUCGGUCCCUAAGGCGAGGCUGAAAAGCGUAGUCGAUGGAAAACAGGUUAAUAUUCCUGUACUUCCAGUUAUUGCGAUGGAGGGACGGAGAAGGCUAGGCCAGCUUGGCGUUGGUUGUCCAAGUUUAAGGUGGUAGGCUGAGAUCUUAGGCAAAUCCGGGAUCUCAAGGCCGAGAGCUGAUGACGAGUGCUCAUUAGAGCGCGAAGUGGUUGAUGCCAUGCUUCCAAGAAAAGCUCCUAAGCUUCAGAUAACUGGGAACCGUACCCCAAACCGACACAGGUGGUUAGGUAGAGAAUACCAAGGCGCUUGAGAGAACUCGGGUGAAGGAACUAGGCAAAAUGGCACCGUAACUUCGGGAGAAGGUGCGCCGGCGAGGGUUAAGGACUUGCUCCGUAAGCCCAUGCCGGUCGAAGAUACCAGGCCGCUGCGACUGUUUAUUAAAAACACAGCACUCUGCAAACACGAAAGUGGACGUAUAGGGUGUGACGCCUGCCCGGUGCCGGAAGGUUAAUUGAUGGGGUUAGCGCAAGCGAAGCUCUUGAUCGAAGCCCCGGUAAACGGCGGCCGUAACUAUAACGGUCCUAAGGUAGCGAAAUUCCUUGUCGGGUAAGUUCCGACCUGCACGAAUGGCGUAACGAUGGCGGCGCUGUCUCCACCCGAGACUCAGUGAAAUUGAAAUCGCUGUGAAGAUGCAGUGUAUCCGCGGCUAGACGGAAAGACCCCGUGAACCUUUACUAUAGCUUUGCACUGGACUUUGAAUUUGCUUGUGUAGGAUAGGUGGGAGGCUUUGAAGUGGGGACGCCAGUUCUCAUGGAGCCAUCCUUGAAAUACCACCCUGGCAACUUUGAGGUUCUAACUCAGGUCCGUUAUCCGGAUCGAGGACAGUGUAUGGUGGGUAGUUUGACUGGGGCGGUCUCCUCCCAAAGAGUAACGGAGGAGUACGAAGGUGCGCUCAGACCGGUCGGAAAUCGGUCGUAGAGUAUAAAGGCAAAAGCGCGCUUGACUGCGAGACAAACACGUCGAGCAGGUACGAAAGUAGGUCUUAGUGAUCCGGUGGUUCUGUAUGGAAGGGCCAUCGCUCAACGGAUAAAAGGUACUCCGGGGAUAACAGGCUGAUACCGCCCAAGAGUUCAUAUCGACGGCGGUGUUUGGCACCUCGAUGUCGGCUCAUCACAUCCUGGGGCUGAAGCCGGUCCCAAGGGUAUGGCUGUUCGCCAUUUAAAGUGGUACGCGAGCUGGGUUUAGAACGUCGUGAGACAGUUCGGUCCCUAUCUGCCGUGGACGUUUGAGAUUUGAGAGGGGCUGCUCCUAGUACGAGAGGACCGGAGUGGACGAACCUCUGGUGUUCCGGUUGUCACGCCAGUGGCAUUGCCGGGUAGCUAUGUUCGGAAGAGAUAACCGCUGAAAGCAUCUAAGCGGGAAACUUGCCUCAAGAUGAGAUCUCACUGGAACCUUGAGUUCCCUAAAGGGCCGUCGAAGACUACGACGUUGAUAGGUUGGGUGUGUAAGCGCUGUGAGGCGUUGAGCUAACCAAUACUAAUUGCCCGUGAGGCUUGACCAU